rnacentral:snoRNA from 1 species
GGCUUAAGCCACUGCGCCUGGCCAAAAAGCAUAUUUUAAGCAUAUUAACACGAUUAAACAUCUCUUUCUUAGCAAAACAGAAAGUAGGUAUAUGCGUGACAAUACAAGA